AUACUUUUCAGAAGUUUUAUAAAUUUACAAAUUUAUUUCUUUUCAUUGAGUAACGUUUUAGAAAGGGAUAAUUGCCUAUAUACCUCUUAUACGCUCGGAUAUAUUCAAUCUACCCGCUUUUUUUUUCUUUCUAAAAUAUGGGUUAAAUGUGGGUUAAAUGUAUACUAGAGUUAAAACCUAAAUAAAAUAUCUAUUUUACCCCUACCAUAUUAUAUUAAUUCCUAAGUUAUCCUCCUCAUCCUCCUCGUCAUUCUCCUCUCCUGCUUCCCCCUAUCGUCGUCCCCAACCCCGACCCCAACCCCAUCGUCGCGGAGAGGACGGCGACCCCUUCGACCGCCCGCUCCUCCUUCCCCCGCCCC
rnacentral:lncRNA from 1 species